UGAAUUGCAAGGAGAUUUGAUUGGUAUUCUUAAAUUGCGUUUUACUAAAGCAACUUUUACAGGUCUUGACAGAAAUGCAGCCAGAAGUUGUGGAGAGUAAGGUUGCCUGUCCAUUGUGUGGUCAGCUCUUUAAUAAAGAGGACAUCUGUACACAUGCUAGUUUUUGUGGGGAGAGUAACCGAGCUGAAGAAGACGUCACUGUUUGGAGGACGUCCGUGGGCACUACAGCAGUGUAUCAGACAUCCUGAUAGCACUUGAGAAGAGGGUGGAUACCUCCAUGACAUUUAACAUCUCAGUUACAAGGGAGGACCUGUUUC